rnacentral:rRNA from 1 species
AGUGAAAGACGGUCUUGCUGUCACUUAUAGAUGGACCCGCGCCGUAUUAGCUAGUUGGUGGGGUAACGGCCUACCAAGGCGACGAUACGUAGCCGACCUGAGAGGGUGAUCGGCCACACUGGAACUGAGACACGGUCCAGACUCCUACGGGAGGCAGCAGUAGGGAAUCUUCCGCAAUGGGCGAAAGCCUGACGGAGCAACGCCGCGUGAGUGAUGAAGGUCUUCGGAUCGUAAAGCUCUGUUGUUAGGGAAGAACAAAUGUGUAAGUAACUGUGCACAUCUUGACGGUACCUAACCAGAAAGCCACGGCUAACUACGUGCCAGCAGCCGCGGUAAUACGUAGGUGGCAAGCGUUAUCCGGAAUUAUUGGGCGUAAAGCGCGCGUAGGCGGUUUUUUAAGUCUGAUGUGAAAGCCCACGGCUCAACCGUGGAGGGUCAUUGGAAACUGGAAAACUUGAGUGCAGAAGAGGAAAGUGGAAUUCCAUGUGUAGCGGUGAAAUGCGCAGAGAUAUGGAGGAACACCAGUGGCGAAGGCGGCUUUCUGGUCUGCAACUGACGCUGAUGUGCGAAAGCGUGGGGAUCAAACAGGAUUAGAUACCCUGGUAGUCCACGCCGUAAACGAUGAGUGCUAAGUGUUAGGGGGUUUCCGCCCCUUAGUGCUGCAGCUAACGCAUUAAGCACUCCGCCUGGGGAGUACGGUCGCAAGACUGAAACUCAAAGGAAUUGACGGGGACCCGCACAAGCGGUGGAGCAUGUGGUUUAAUUCGAAGCAACGCGAAGAACCUUACCAAAUCUUGACAUCCUUUGACCGCUCUAGAGAUAGAGUUUUCCUCUUCGGAGGACAAAGUGACAGGUGGUGCAUGGUUGUCGUCAGCUCGUGUCGUGAGAUGUUGGGUUAAGUCCCGCAACGAGCGCAACCCUUGAACUUAGUUGCCAUCAUUCAGUUGGGCACUCUAAGUUGACUGCCGGUGACAAACCGGAGGAAGGUGGGGAUGACGUCAAAUCAUCAUGCCCCUUAUGAUUUGGGCUACACACGUGCUACAAUGGACAAUACAAAGGGCAGCGAAACCGCGAGGUCAAGCAAAUCCCAUAAAGUUGUUCUCAGUUCGGAUUGUAGUCUGCAACUCGACUACAUGAAGCUGGAAUCGCUAGUAAUCGUAGAUCAGCAUGCUACGGUGAAUACGUUCCCGGGUCUUGUACACACCGCCCGUCACACCACGAGAGUUUGUAACACCCGAAGCCGGUGGAGUAACCAUUUUGGAGCUAGCCGUCGAAGGUGGGACAAAUGAUUGGGGUGAAGUCGUAACAAGGUAGCCGUAUCGGAAGGUGCGGCUGGAUCACCUCCUUUCUA